AUCUACAGCCAUAUCACCCUGAUUCCAAAAGCUGAGUAGGGUCGGGUCCACCAAGGACUUGGAUGGGAGACCACCUGGGAAUACCAGAAGCAGUGGGCU
rfam:Chlorocebus sabaeus isolate 1994-021 chromosome 6, whole genome shotgun sequence.